CCUACGGGAGGCUGCAGUGGGGGAUAUUGCACAAUGGGGGGAACCCUGAUGCAGCGACGCCGCGUGGGUGAAGAAGCGCCUCGACGCGUAAAGCCCUGGCAGCAGGGAAGAAAAUGACGGUACCUGAAGAAGAAGCCCCGGCUAACUACGUGCCAGCAGCCGCGGUACUACGAAGGGGGCAAGCGUUAUCCGGAUUUACUGGGUGUAAAGGGGGCGCAGACGGCGAUGCAAGCCAGGAGUGAAAGCCCGGGGCCCAACCCCGGGACUGCUCUUGGAACUGCGUGGCUGGAGUGCAGGAGGGGCAGGCGGAAUUCCUGGUGUAGCGGUGAAAUGCGUAGAUAUCAGGAGGAACACCGGUGGCGAAGGCGGCCUGCUGGACUGCAACUGACGUUGAGGCCCGAAAGCGUGGGGAGCAAACAGGAUUAGAUACCCUGGUAGUC
rnacentral:rRNA from 1 species